rnacentral:rRNA from 1 species
AUACGGAGGGUGCAAGCGUUACUCGGAAUCACUGGGCGUAAAGCGCGCGCAGGCGGCUAUUUAAGUUGGAUGUGAAAGCCUAUGGCUCAACCAUAGAACUGCAUCCAAAACUAUUUAGCUAGAGUGUGGGAGAGGAAGAUGGAAUUAGUUGUGUAGGGGUAAAAUCCGUAGAGAUAACUAGGAAUACCAAAAGCGAAGGCAAGCUUCUGGAGCACUACUGACGCUGAGGCGCGAAAGCGUGGGUAGCAAACAGGAUUAGAAACCCUAGUAGUCC